AUAAAGGAUCCCAUAGGAUCCAUCCAUCAAAACCAUUCAAAAUCCUU
rfam:Cephalotus follicularis DNA, scaffold: scaffold4634, isolate: St1.